CACGGAGGAUCCAAGCGUUAUCCGGAUUCAUUGGGUUUAAAGGGUGCGUAGGCGGACUGAUAAGUCAGCGGUGAAAUCUCUCGGCUCAACCGAGAAACUGCCGUUGAUACUGUUAGUCUUGAAUGCAGAUGAUGUGGGCGGAAUAUGACAUGUAGUGGUGAAAUACUUAGAUAUGUCAUAGAACACCGAUUGCGAAGGCAGCUCACAAAACUGUGGUUGACGCUGAUGCACGAAAGCGUGGGGAUCAAACAGG
rnacentral:rRNA from 1 species